CACACCCAAUAGGAGACAGGCGGCAGGGAGUCCGUCCUCGGUGGCCCAGCCCUCGACUCCAGCCGGAGCCUGGCUGACCCUGUCGCCCCCUGCCGCUGCUUCCUCUGCCCCUUGGUCCCCGUCAGCGCGUGGUGCCUAGAGACCCUCAAGCUCUGCGCUCUACACUCCGGCCCCCCACUGCCUCACAUCUCUGCUGGGCGCCGAGCGGAAGAGACAAGGGAGCAGACUGAUGGUGUGGGGUUCGAGGGGACAGGGGGACGUCCCGGGUGCGGACUAUGCGAAUGCCCAUUCCGUACGCCUCACCGCGCCCGGGGGCGCAACCCCGGCACCGCAGCCAACUCCGCCACCCGCACGGAGACACCUCUUUUGCGCUCAACUUACCGCGGCUGGACUGAGCUUUCGGCGCCCCCAGCAGUUUUUCUCUCCUUCCUCCCGCCGAGCCCUUCAUCCUCCUGCCGGCGGCCGCCCUGCGCCCCGGCCCCGGCAUCAGGAGGAGCGGCCGCCCGGGCUGGCUGGCCCCGGGGGCGCACAAGGGCCGGUCUGCAGCUUCGGUGGUGAGAGUCACCACGAGGCGUGAGCGGCUGCCGCGGAGAAUAGUCCCCGGAGCGCCGCUCGUGUGGUCCCUCGGGCGCUGGCUGGAGGUGGCUGUCGGCGCGCCUCUGCCUCCGCCGCGCCCGCCGUGCUCUGCACGCGUCCCGAGCCCGCGCCAGCCUCAGGUGCACCCAGCUGGGGAGAGGUGCGAGCUGGAGCGGAGGGAGGGGCCGGCCCGGGGGUGCCAGGGAAGGGAGAGAAGGCUGAGCGGAGAGAAAGAAACCGAGGGGAGAGGAACUAGCUUUCAUGGAGUGAGUGGAUCCUGGGUGUUAAGGGGAAAUGCGAGCGACAGGAAUGCAUCCAGAAACUAUGGGUAUUAGAAAUGAGCUCAAGUGAGCUGCUUCAGGAGGCUCGGGAAAGGGGCUUUCCUUUUGUGCUUAGGUCCUUUAUCUUCCCGGGUUGCAUACAGGUCUACCUGAAAACAGCCCCACCCCCACCUCCACACCCCUCUUUUUUUUUCUUUUUUUUUAACGGUGAACCUCCAAUCUCAGAUUGCAGAUGCAAAGUGAUAGGGUGAAGCUACUGAAAACACAGAUGAGGGCUUCUACUGAAGAAACAGCAUUGUGAGCUAGAAAAAGUAGAGAAUAUUUGGAACAAGUUUUAACAAGGAUGACAUGGUGAAUCCACAAAAGAUGGGAAGAACGAUCACCAGGGAAUCCUACCAGGAAAGUGAUUCUGGAAUCAUGGAACGUAUGCAGGAAGUUUACUGGGGAAAGCCCCUGAGGUCAACACCUGAGAGUAAAAGAAGCAGAACUGGGUAAAAGGGGAAGUUGAACUCCAAUGCAAUCUCAGCAAAGGCUUCAGCCCAUUCCAUGGGAGUUCUGGACUCAAUGGACCCUUUGGAGUUGUUCUGCACUGAGGACAGACAAGCAGGUCUUUGUACCCUCACAUCAAUUUGUCAUUCCUAGUAAUCAGAAUUGAGCUCACAGAGAAGCCUGUAGAACUAACCUGCUCAAAUAUAUGAAUAUUUCAUCAUCACUGGUUUAUAGGAACCCCAAGGAAACUAUCUUAAAUGCAGCAAUUAUUUUAAUAAACAUUAUUAUUUGCAAGGCACUGUGAUGGGUACUCUGGGGGAACACAAAUUUAUUUAAAUCACAUGUUUGAUAUCAUGUAACUUAAAUUUAAAGUAAAAUGAACUAUAGAGAAGUAAAUUGUCUGUAAAAUGGAUAUAAUAAUAUCUGUCUCAUAGGGUGGAUCCGAGGAUUUGAAAACCUGCCACAAAAUAAAUGCUACAUAAGUAUUUAGGUUUUUUUUCCCCUAACUACAAUAGGUAGGAAUGAAACGUUUUGCACAAUACAAUCGACAAAGUACAAAUAAAUAUGUAGUAAGUGAGAAGCUAUCACUUUAACUGAGAAAAUGUAAUGAAGGAAAAUGAAUUUAGUUGAGUCUUCAAGAGGGGGUUGGAGUUUGGAAGGGAAAAAUAAUGGUGAGGAGAGGAAUACAUCCAAAGGAUAACAAAUAAGAUGGAUAUGUAAAGCAUAAAAGCUUAGAAAUUUCUUUGGCAGCCACUAAAUGGACUAGUAUGUCAAGAACUUAGGUGAAAGGUUAGGGACACUGCUAAUGAUUUUCAGUGCCCAGUUAAUUGUUGUGACUAUUUAGAAGACUAUAAAAAGUGAAAUUUUUGAGCAAAUUAUAAGUAUGAAUAAAAUUCUGUUUUAUGAACAUUAACCUGUGAACCACUGAAACUGAAAGAAACUGGAAGCAAACUUUUCUGUUUCUUGUUCCUGCCUCAUACUAAUCUAUCUUUCCAGAGACUGUUCAAAGUGGUGUCCCUGGACCAGUAGCAUCAGCAUCACCUAGAGACUUACUGGAAAUGUAGAUUCCUGGGCUCCACCCCUGACCUUCUGAACUAGAAACUUUGUGGGCCCCAGCAGCCUUUGUUUUAAUAAGCCCUCCAGGAAGAGAUUCUGAUUCACAUUCAAAUUUGAGAAUUACUGCUAUAGUGUUUCUUUUGACUGGAGCAUUUAGCCCAUUUACAUUCAGAGUGAUUAUUGAUAGAUAUGAAUUUAAUGCCAUUGUAUUACCUGUAAAGUCAUUGUUUCUGGAGAUUUUCUUUCUAAUCAUUGUUUUUGGUUUUGUCUUUCCUGCUCAAAGAGUCCCCUUUAAUAUUUCUUACAGAGCUGGCUUAGGGGUCAUGAACUCCCUUAGUUUUUGUCUGGCAAACUCUAUCUUUCCUUCCAUCCUGGAUAGAUUUUCUGGGUUUUUUUUUUCCCCCAACUACAAUAG